GACAGAGGCCUCAAGCGUUAGGCGGAAUCACUGGGCUUAAAGCGUGUGUAGGCGGAUCGUUAAGUGUCUUGUGAAAUCCCUCGGCUUAACCGGGGAACUGCGUCUGAUACUGGAUGGCUUGAGUUUGGGAGAGGGACGCGGAAUUCCAGGUGUAGCGGUGAAAUGCGUAGAUAUCUGGAGGAACACCGGUGGCGAAGGCGGCGUCCUGGACCAACACUGACACUGAUGAGCGAAAGCCAGGGGAGCAAACGGG
rnacentral:rRNA from 1 species